rnacentral:rRNA from 1 species
UACAGAGGGGGCAAGCGUUGUUCGGAAUUACUGGGCGUAAAGGGCGCGUAGGCGGCCUUCUAAGUCGAACGUGAAAUCCCUGGGCUCAACCCAGGAACUGCGUCCGAUACUGGAAGGCUUGAAUCCGGGAGAGGGAUGCGGAAUUCCAGGUGUAGCGGUGAAAUGCGCAGAUAUCGGGAGGAACACCGAUGGCGAAGGCAGCACUCUGGGCCGGCACUGACGCUGAGGAGCGAAAGCGUGGGGAGCGAACAGG